UGACCAGCACGACCAACCAAAGGCCACUGAAGACAUUGCUCUGUCUCUCACAGGGCUGUCGAACAGUGACCCCACCCGGGCCUGAUGGCUCCCACGGCACCUGGAAUCAGAGGGCUAGGACAAGUCUGUGGCCUCACCUGUGGAUCUGUGGUCUUUCCAUGGUGAGCCACUCUUUGAACUGGGAAACCUCGGCAGCUGUGUAGAGAACAGACUGUAGAGGAGUGAAGGCAGAAUCUGGGAGACCAGUGAGGAGGCCACGGCAACGACCCAGGCUGACCACUGCAUGGUGGGGUGCUCCCAUCUCCUCUCAGAAGCCAUGUCAGGGCUCUGGACGAUGACGGAAGACAAGGACCCGGUAACUGGAAGGCAAGAUGAGACAGAUGAGUCUCGCCUCAUGUAUGCAAAGCACCUUACAGCUUCCCACAAUCUCAGACCUCUCCUUGGGAAUUGGCAGAGCAGCUGUGACUUCCCUUGUACAGACGAGGCCACUGAGGCUUGGAGAGGGCAAGUGUCGGGCUUGAGGAUGGGCUCCCUCUGAGGUCAGUGCCUUCCCCACACCCAGCCUCUGCUUUGCAGCUUUCCUCACAGCCCCCACCCCUUCCAGCAGGGCGACUUCCCUCUGAUGGCAGGCCACAUGUGCUCUGCUUUUUGUGACUGGAGUGGUUUCCAAAACUAGCUGUGAAAUUUCCUGAAAGGCGCUCCAGGGUCCCCAGCUUCAAGGGCUUUCACAGGUACCUGCCCAGGAAGCGCUGAGUGAGCACUUCCCCGGUGACAGCGUGAGCUGACCCAGGCCUCAGGGCCCUUCCUCUCCUCAUUAGGGAAGGAUAAAGGAGAUUCAGGGGAGAACCAAAGCCCUCCUGGGAACCAUCCUAAGGGAAGUGGACACUCUUGUGUGGCCUUCCCAGCGCUGGGCGGCGCCCACCCUUGC